UCAAAGUUUUUGGGUUCCGGG
rnacentral:siRNA from 1 species